AUUGAACGCUGGCGGCAGGCUUAACACAUGCAAGUCGAGCGAGCGGCGGACGGGUGAGUAAUGUCUGGGAAACUGCCUGGUGGUGGGGGAUAACGACUGGAAACGGGAGCUAAUACCGCAUACCAUCAGAUGUGCCCAGGUGGGAUUAGCUAGUAGGUGGGGUAAUGGCUCACCUAGGCGACGAUCCCUAGCUGGUCUGAGAGGAUGACCAGCCACACUGGAACUGAGACACGGUCCAGACUCCUACGGGAGGCAGCAGUGGGGAAUAUUGGACAAUGGGCGAAAGCCUGAUGCAGCCAUGCCGCGUGUGUGAAGAAGGCCUUCGGAUUGUAAAGCACUUUAAGUGAGGAGGCGUUACCCACAGAAUAAGCACCGGCUAACUCCGUGCCAGCAGCCGCGGUAAUUC
rnacentral:rRNA from 1 species